UACGGAGGGUGCAAGCGUUAAUCGGAAUGAUUGGGCGUAAAGAGCGCGUAGGUGGUUUACUAAGUGAGUUGUGAAAGACCCGGGCUUAACCGUGGGGAUGGUCAACUCAAACGGGUAGACUGGAGUACAGUAGAGGGUUGUGGAAUUUCCGGUGUAGCGGUGAAAUGCGUAGAGAUCGGAAGGAACAUCAAUGGCGAAGGCAACAACCUGGGCUGAAACUGACACUGAGGCGCGAAAGCGUGGGGAGCAAACAGG
rnacentral:rRNA from 1 species